AUGAACGCUGGCGGCGUGCCUAAUCCAUGCAAGUCGAGCGAACAGACGAGGAGCUUGCUCCUCUGACGUUAGCGGCGGACGGGUGAGUAACACGUGGAUAACCUACCUGUAAGACUGGGAUAACUUCGGGAAACCGGAGCUAAUACCGGAUAAUAUAUUGAACCGCAUGGUUCAAUAGUGAAAGACGGUUUUGCUGUCACUUAUAGAUGGAUCCGCGCCGCAUUAGCUAGUUGGUAAGGUAACGGCUUACCAAGGCGACGAUGCGUAGCCGACCUGAGAGGGUGAUCGGCCACACUGGAACUGAGACACGGUCCAGACUCCUACGGGAGGCAGCAGUAGGGAAUCUUCCGCAAUGGGCGAAAGCCUGACGGAGCAACGCCGCGUGAGUGAUGAAGGUCUUCGGAUCGUAAAACUCUGUUAUUAGGGAAGAACAAAUGUGUAAGUAACUAUGCACGUCUUGACGGUACCUAAUCAGAAAGCCACGGCUAACUACGUG
rnacentral:rRNA from 1 species